rnacentral:rRNA from 1 species
GAUGAACGCUGGCGGCGUGCCUAAUACAUGCAAGUCGAGCGAACGGACGAGAAGCUUGCUUCUCUGAUGUUAGCGGCGGACGGGUGAGUAACACGUGGAUAACCUACCUAUAAGACUGGGAUAACUUCGGGAAACCGGAGCUAAUACCGGAUGAUAUUUUGAACCGCAUGGUUCAAAAGUGAAAGACGGUCUUGCUGCCACUUAUAGAUGGAUCCGCGCUGCAUUAGCUAGUUGGUAAGGUAACGGCUUACCAAGGCAACGAUGCAUAGCCGACCUGAGAGGGUGAUCGGCCACACUGGAACUGAGACACGGUCCAGACGCCUACGGGAGGCAGCAGUAGGGAAUCUUCCGCAAUGGGCGAAAGCCUGACGGAGCAACGCCGCGUGAGUGAUGAAGGUCUUCGGAUCGUAAAACUCUGUUAUUAGGGAAGAACAGAUGUGUAAGUAACUGUGCACAUCUUGACGGUACCUAAUCAGAAAGCCACGGCUAACUACGUG